GUCACUGCAUCUACAUUUUCCAGCUCCCAGCAACUUCUGCAAAUAAUAUUCCGGUAACUGCAGCCAGGGAUUGCACAGAUUGGCAAUGACUGCUUCCUGGUCAGGAGCUAGGAGUUGGAUUCCUAAUGGCCUGUAGCUGAUGUUAUCCAAGGUGACACAGAAGAGCUAAAGCUGGUGUUUGGAAUCGGAAAGCCUGGACUAAGAAAUCCAAAUAAUUUCGAAGUACUAGGGCAGCUAAUUCAUCUUCAGAAACACUUGUUCUUUAAUGCUGUAGCCAGUAACUACAAUGUUUGUGUCACUUUGUAUGGAAAACAAAUUUCUCCCUCUGUGGAACUGUAGCAUGGAUAAUACUGCUACAAUGUAUUCAAGGACAUAAAAGAGAUUCUAGAUAAGUUAAGCAGUCAAACCUGAAUGAGAGUGGGAUCCUCUAAAAAUCUGGCAGAGAACCAAAAGGCCUGGAUUUUGCCAUUUCUAUGGCCUCAUCUGAUUUUCUAUGCAUUGCCUCUCCAGGGAUGACUAUAAAAUUUUGCUCUGCUGCCAUCUCUUUUCUGAGACACCUGCUUAGAAAUAAGGAAACCGCGGCACAUGGAAGUAACGCGACUUGCCAAAUUCUAGGAAGAGCAGAAUCCGAGGCUGGUUUGGCUCAGUGGAUACAGCAUCAGCCUGCGGACUGAGGGGUCCCGGGUUCGAUUCCGGUCAAGGGCACGUACGUUGGUUGCGGGCACAUCCCCGGUGGGGGGCGUGCAGGAGGCAGCUGAUCGAUGGCUCUCUCUCGUCGAUGUUUCUAACUCUCUAUC